UAUGCUAACCAUGGCGUGACCUUGCCCUUUAGCAGUCUAGAACUGACUGAAUUUAUGUUAGCUAUAGGUAACUUCCUGAGGGACCGGUCAGCAACAUCCCAGGGACCGCUGCCAGCCCACAGACCAGGGGUUGAAGACUCUGCAUCCACCAAUGGAAGAUCAGGGUUCACCUCGGGUCCACCAACAUACCACUUCAUAGACGCAGGUUUGUGGGCAACAAUAGGACACAACAAGACAUGAGGGGAGAGUGUUUAAGCAGACGGAGGAACCAGUUAUUUAUUUGCAAGUAGUUACGAGGUAUUACCUCAGAGGAAGAACAGUAGAAUGCUAUCAGGACAAGAACUGGUGAUAGAUUAAUGGUUGUCCUUCUUACUAGGAAAAUGACAUGAAUGCCAACUGAUGCCCGAUUAACAUGCCUGAUGCCUGAAUAACAGGGCUGAUGCCUGAAUAACAAGGCUGAUGCCUGAAUAACAGGGCUGAUGCCAGAAAACAGGCCUGAUGCCUGAAUAACAAGGCGGAUGCCUGAAUAACAGGGCUGAUGCCAGAAUAACAGGGCUAAUGCCAGAAUAACAAGGCUGAUGCCUGAAUAACAAGGCUGAUGCCUGAAUAACAAGGCUGAUGCCUGAAUAACAGGGCUGAUGCCAGAAUAACAAGGCUGAUGCCUGAAUAACAGGGCUGAUGCCAGAAUAACAGGCCUGAUGCCUGAAUAACAAGGCGGAUGCCUGAAUAACAGGGCUCAUGCCAGAAUAACAGGGCUGAUGCCAGAAUAACAGGGGUGAUGCCUGAAUAACAGGGGUGAUGCCUGAAUAACAGGGGUGAUGCCUGAAUAACAGCUUUCAAGUACUGUCAGUUCACUACUGCAUCAAAAUCAAAUUUCCAUGUCCAUCAAACGGUAAAAUUGAAUUACUUGGGUCACUUUGCAGGAGGUCGUUUGCCGUUCGUUUCACAAGCAUCUAUAAGCUAUAAGCUAACACAGCCUGAAGAGUCUGGCUAUCAAGACACCUGUAAAAUCCUCCCUUCUUGGCAGCAAGGCUAACCCAGCUGUUUCAAAUGACACCUAUUCCCUGUGUAGUGCACUACUUUGGGCCACCUAAAAAACAACAUCCUAUUCCCUGUGUAGUGCACUAAUGUUCUCUAAAACAACACCCAAUGUGGCUGCACUGUUACUCUUGUCAACGGUAGUGCAAUAGUACAUUAUACAGCCAAUGAGAUUUAGCUACUGUCUGCCAGUGGGAUGACAGCUUCUGUCUGCCAGUGUGAUGACAGCUUCUGUCUGCCAGUGUGAUGACAGCUUCUGUCUGCCAGUGUGAUGACAGACUGUCUGCCAGUGUGAUGACAGACUGUCUGCC